GACAGAGGAGGCAAGCGGUGUUCGGAAUCAUUGGGCUUAAAGCGCGCGUAGGCGGCCUUGUAAGUGUCUUGUGAAAUCCCACGGCUCACCCGUGGAACUGCAGGGCAAGCUGCAAGACUUGAGGUAGGUAGAGGCGCCUGGAACUCUAGGUGGAGCGGUGAAAUGCGUAGAUAUCUAGGGGAACGCCGGAGGCGAAAGCGGGGCGCUGGGCCGAUUCUGACGCUGAUGCGCGAAAGCGUGGGGAGCAAACAGG
rnacentral:rRNA from 1 species